GACGAACGCUGGCGGCGUGCUUAACACAUGCAAGUCGAACGGAAAGGCCCUGCUUGCAGGGUGCUCGAGUGGCGAACGGGUGAGUAACACGUGGGUGAUCUGCCCCUUACUUUGGGAUAAGCCUGGUAAACUGGGUCUAAUACUGGAUAGGACCAUGCUGUAGGUGGUGUGGUGGAAAGAUUAGUUUCGGUUAGGGAUGAGCUCGCGGCCUAUCAGCUUGUUGGUGGGGUAAUGGCCUACCAAGGCGUCGACGGGUAGCCGGCCUGAGAGGGUGGACGGCAACAUUGGGACUGAGAGACGGACCAGAAUACUACGGGAGGAAGCAGUGGGGAAUAUUGGACAAUGGGAGAAAGCCGGAUGCAGCGACGACGCGGGGGGGAUGACGGCCUUCGGGUUGUAAACUACUUACAGCCAUGACGAAGCCCUUGUGGUGACGGUAGUGGUAGAAGAAGCACCGGCUAACUACGUG
rnacentral:rRNA from 1 species